GCCGGGUGGACGGACUGACGAGGGGUCUGGUUAUGAUUGUGAUAUUACAGUUGUUUCUGCCUAUGUACGUUCUACGCGAAUGCAUGCCUACCCAUCAAGCUGCGCAACGUGGAGCUAAUCAAACGGGCCAACCCACUGUGCGAAUAUUAAUUAAACUCUCCGUUACGCCUGAAUAGCGUGCACAGAGGGCAAGAGAAGAAGAAAGAGGGCAAAGGUUAGUUUCCGCUAACUAUCUAGUGGAAGGUGUAUCCUGCCGAUUUCAGCGACUUUUGGGAAUGCUUUUAAGAUUUUUCAAUUAAAUCUUACUAUUUUCUUCACACGUGUCACCGCUAUUUGGCUUUUAUUAUCGACAU